UACAGAGGGUGCAAGCGUUAAUCGGAAUUACUGGGCGUAAAGCGUGCGUAGUCGGUUAUCUAAGUCGGGUGUGAAAUCCCCGGGCUCAACCUGGGAAUUGCAUUCGAUACUGGAUAGCUAGAGUUCGGCAGAGGGAAGCGGAAUUUCGGGUGUAGCGGUGAAAUGCGUAGAUAUCCGAAGGAACAUCAGUGGCGAAGGCGGCUUCCUGGACCAGAACUGACGAUCGAGGCACGAAAGCGUGGGGAGCAAACAGGG
rnacentral:rRNA from 1 species